UUGACCUCAAAUCAGGUAGGACUACCCGCUGAACUUAAGCAUAUCAAUAAGCGGAGGAAAAGAAACUAACAAGGAUUCCCCUAGUAACUGCGAGUGAAGCGGGAAAAGCUCAAAUUUAAAAUCUGGCAGUCUUU
rnacentral:rRNA from 1 species